AGAACGAACGCUGGCGGCAUGCCUAAUACAUGCAAGUCGAACGAAGGCUUCGGCCUUAGUGGCGCACGGGUGCGUAACGCGUGGGAAUCUGCCCCUUGGUUCGGAAUAACAGUUGGAAACGACUGCUAAUACCGGAUGAUGACGAAAGUCCAAAGAUUUAUCGCCAAGGGAUGAGCCCGCGUAGGAUUAGCUAGUUGGUGAGGUAAAGGCUCACCAAGGCGACGAUCCUUAGCUGGUCUGAGAGGAUGAUCAGCCACACUGGGACUGAGACACGGCCCAGACUCUACGGGAGGCAGCAGUAGGGAAUAUUGGACAAUGGGACGAAAGCCUAG
rnacentral:rRNA from 1 species